UACGUAGGGCGCAAGCGUUGUCCGGAAUUAUUGGGCGUAAAGAGCUCGUAGGCGGCCUGUUGCGUCCGCUGUGAAAUCCCGGGGCUCAACCCCGGGCCUGCAGUGGAUACGGGCUGGCUGGAGGCAGGCAGGGGAGAACGGAAUUCCUGGUGUAGCGGUGAAAUGCGCAGAUAUCAGGAGGAACACCGGUGGCGAAGGCAGCUGGCUACACAAAUAUUGACACUGAGGCACGAAAGCGUGGGGAUCAAACAGG
rnacentral:rRNA from 1 species